GGGUGCUGGAGGUCGGGUUUGCCCAUGUAACAUCUCCUGCGAGAUGCUAUGCGAGCCCCGAAAAGAGUGCGAUUGACUUGGAAAUUAACGCUACAGGGACGUUUGCCACAAACUGCCGCUUUUAUUACGAUUACUUCUGAGCCGACAGGUCACAAGUUGAAGUAGAAGUGCGCGUAAGACCCCUAAAGCUGUCCGUCCGUUUUGUCCUACAAAGGCGCCCGAGCGCUCUGACAGCGGCAGGACUUCAGUGCGCAGGCCCGACGGCAGUGAAACGGCUUCCGAAGGACUACAUGAAACAAACUAGUCCUUCUAUAGCGGGAAACGAGCUGAACCAUGAGGAAGGACGUGAGGAUACUACUCGUAGGGGAACCCAAAGUGGGGAAGACGUCGCUGAUAAUGUCCCUGGUCAGCGAGGAGUUUCCUGAUGAGGUUCCUCUUCGCGCUGAGGAGAUCACCAUCCCAGCCGAUGUGACCCCAGAGAGGGUUCCCACACACAUUGUGGACUACUCGGAGGCAGAACAGUCGGACGAGCAGCUGUACCAAGAAAUAUCAAAGGCCAAUGUUAUCUGCAUAGUUUACUCCGUCAACAACAAGAAGUCCAUUGAAAAGGUGACCAGCCACUGGAUUCCACUCAUCAAUGACAGAACGGACAAGGACAGCAGAGUCCCAUUGAUCCUGGUGGGGAACAAGUCGGACCUGGUGGAACACAGCAGUAUGGAGACCAUCCUGCCAAUCAUGAAUCAAUACCAGGACAUCGAGACCUGUGUAGAGUGCUCCGCCAAAAACCUCAAGAACAUCUCCGAGCUGUUCUACUACGCCCAGAAGGCUGUUCUCCACCCGACGGGACCCCUGUACUGCCCGGAGGAGAAGGAGUUGAAGCCGUCCUGCAUUAAGUCUUUGACUAGAAUCUUCAAAGUGUCUGACCUGGACAACGACGGCAUCCUUAACGACAACGAGCUCAACUUCUUCCAGAGGACCUGCUUCAAUACGCCGCUAGCGCCUCAGGCCUUGGAGGACGUAAAGAACGUGGUCAGGAGGAACAUGGCGGACGGAGUCCAGGACAACGGGCUUUCGCUUAAAGGCUUCCUGUUCCUGCACACUCUGUUCAUCCAGCGGGGCCGACACGAGACCACCUGGACCGUGCUGCGGAGGUUCGGCUACGACGACGACCUGGAGCUCACACAGGAGUACCUCUUCCCCAUGAUCAAGAUGCCUCCGGACUGCACCACCGAGCUGAACCACAACGCUUACCUCUUCCUCCAGAGCGUCUUUGACAAACACGACAAGGACCGAGAUUGUGCGCUGUCGCCAGACGAGGUGAAGGACUUGUUCAAAGUGUUUCCCUACAUGCCCUGGGGUCCGGACGUCAACCACACGGUUUGCACCAACGAACAGGGAUGGAUCACAUACCAGGGAUACCUCUCCCAGUGGACGCUAACAACAUAUUUAGAUGUACAGCGUAGCUUGGAGUACUUGGGUUAUCUCGGCUACUCCAUCAUCUACGAACAGGAGUCCCAAGCUGCUGCCAUCACAGUGACGCGCAACAAGCGCAUCGACCUGCAGAAGAAGCAGACCCAGCGCAGCGUCUUCCGCUGCAACGUCCUGGGGGGCCGAGGCAGCGGGAAGAGCGCCUUCCUCCAAGCUUUCCUCGGCAAGAACCUGCAGGGACAGCGGCGGAUUAGAGAAGACCACAAGUCCUUCUACGCCAUCAGCACGACCUAUGUUUAUGGUCAGGAGAAGUACCUGCUGCUCCAUGAGGUGAUGCCAGAUUUCGACUUCCUGUCGGAGGCGGACCUAGCGUGCGAUGUGGUGUGCCUGGUGUAUGACAUCAACAACCCCGGCUCCUUUGAAUACUGCGCCAAAGUCUACAAGCAACACUUCAUCGACAGCAAGACGCCGUGCGUGGUGAUUGCCGCCAAGUCGGACCUGCACGAAGUGCGGCAGCACCACAGCCUCUCGCCGCACGAGUUCUGCCGCAAGCACAAGCUCCACCCACCACAGCCGUUCACCUGCAGCACGGCCGAGGCGCCCAACAAAGACAUCUACACCAGACUCACCACCAUGGCCAUGUACCCCCACGUCCGCCUCCGAUGCAUGUGCGCCUCCAACAGGUGCACAUAUUGCCUGUGUCAGAACCUCCUCAAGUUGGAGCUGCUGCGCAGCAUUAAGGCCCAACUGCGCAGGGUCUUGUUCAACAGGUUUACACUGCAUAUCCACUUCAGGAAAAAAGGGACUUUGUCGAUUUGGCGGUGGUAAAGAUUUGCAUUUGUGAAUUAUUGUGAAUACUUUGGUGAUCGCUUUUGGAGGAAACAAAACUUCUGCUUCGCUGGGUUGCCUCAUCGCUGUCUGUGUACCAAAGUGUAGGGUCCCCUAGGUGUUGCCCUAUUUGAUUUAUAACUUUUUUUUUCUUUAACUUUUUACCAUUUAACACGUUCACUGACAGUCUGCUGUCAACCAAUCGGUGUCGGCUUGAGUGGGUACCGAUCAAACACGAUGUUACCAUAGCAACAGACUUAGCUCGGAUGUUUUGAGCAAAAAACUCUUACUUACUUAUUAGCGCUGCUGGUUCACAUGAGGUGUUUUGGUCUCUGCUUCAGCUGAACUCACCCCUCCCCCCCCCUCUCUGUGCUCUGUGGCCCAGUGUGACCGCGCUGUGCUACUUAACGUGCAGGCUGCUCGCCGGGGGGGUGACUGCGGGUGGGGAGACAGAUGCAUGAUCAGAUGCAUGAUCUGUCAUAUGCAUGCUUAUACUGACCCGCAGGUAAAAUACCAACAUGUAUAUUCUGGUUUUUAUAUUGUUGGAUACUUUUGAGUAUUCAUAUUUUUCAGUUUGGAAAAAAAAUACUUUAGAAUGUUGUAUAAGUAUAAUGCACCAUAUCCAAAGUAUGUUCUAUGGAAUGCCGUUUUAUUCACAAUUAAAUAAAUAAAUGAAUAAAUACAUAAAUAAAUGAAUAAAUACAUGAAAUAUGCAUUUGAAAUACAUCAUGAAAUAAAUAAAUGAGGCAAUAAAUACAUAAAUAUUAAAUAAAUGUAAGGCAUUAAAUACAUGAAUAUUAAAUAAAUGUAAUUAUUUCAUGGUACUUUUAUUUCCAUAUUUAUUUAUUUCAAGAGACUUUUAUUUCAUAAUGCCACUUUUAUUUCACUUUCUUAUAUGCAAAUCGGGGGGCGUGGCUAUCUCUCACAUUCAGAACAGACAACAGAGCCGUGUGCAAAAAAAGGCUGGCUAGAGGACGUGAGAGUGUUUAUGAAAUGGCAUUAUGAAAAAAGUCUCUUGAAAUAAAUAAAUGUGUACUUAUGAAGUAAAUGUACCAUGAAAUAAUUAAAUGUAUUUAAUAUUUAUGUAUUUAUUGCCUCAUUUAUUCCGAUGCAUAUUUCAUGUAUUUAUGUAUUUAUUCAUUUAUUUCUGUAUUUAUUCAUUCAAUUGUGAAUAAAACUGCAUUCCAUACUGUUCAGACACAUAGUCAUUAUGAAAAAAGAUCAUGUCCUGCUAUGAAGCCUUUGAAAAGGUAGACAAAGUAAAAACUAAAUUCCAGGUGUGAAUUUAACUGACCUUUGACCUCUUCUCUCUAAGAGGCGGUCUGUCCUUCCUGUCCUGCAGUGGAUAUGCACACUGUGAAUCUUGACUAACAGGCUCUUUAUUUGCACAGAGAAUGACAGAAACCAGCCCAACUGAAAAACGUCAUUGAUGCCUGCGUGCUAGAUAUGUGAUUUAUUUUUACAUAAUAGUAUUAUAAUUCUAAAUCUUCUUUAAGGCACCAACCUUAAUUCAUUAUUGGAGAUUAACUGUGAUGUUUUCAGUCUCUCUCUGUCUUAAUUUACAUGCCUAAUACUAAAGUCUACAACUACAGGAGAAACUUUAUUUUGAAAAGCGGCACUGUUUUAGUACAAUAAUGUUUCUCCUUUAGGUUCAGACUUCAUAAAUGUAUCAGGCUUAUGUUAAAAAUCCCAAAGUGUUACUUUGAUAUGUGAUUUCAUCCUGUUUUUCCCUCUGUUGUAUUUCUCCUGUGUUUUUCCUUCGACUCUAUAGGUCCUCAAACACCUGUUUUUGGCUCCCCCUCUUCCUCUUCCUCCUGCACGUGUUCACUCUCUGCUAAUCCGUCUAGUGUGUUGCACGAUUCAACUGGUUUCUGCCUCGGUGUCCUGCCCAAAGGGUUUGAAUGUCUGUCUAUAGUGAUGGAGGGGGAUUUCUUUCAAGCAUAAAACACGGCUCCUUGUGGGGUGGACCCUGUAUGUUGCAUCCAGCACUAACGCUGUAUUCGUAUGUCUUUGAUGUCUUUGACGUGUUGGCUCUAAUAACAGCAUGACAUCUGAUGAGCAACGGGCCAAUCACAAAUCUGAAAAGUGGCUACAAUAAUAAAUUAUGUUGCGCCACUUGGUACAAAGAGAAUAACAUUUUACCACUAAUUUGUUACCAAUCAAACAAUCGAGUGUAUGAAAGGUGCCACACAAUGAAUGCAGAGUAAAAGUCAGCAGAGGCAGUUGGGACGAGUUUGAGAUUUACUUUAUUUCCAAAGAAAGCCACAAUUACGUCAUUAUGUAUUCAAAUAGGGACAAGAUUCAUCGCUAAACUCUUCAAUCUCGCUGUCAUGUGGUGUGUGCGGUCUGCAUAGUGUGUGUGUGUGUGUGUGUGUGUGUGUGUGUGUGUGUGUGUGUGUGUGUGUGUGUGUGUGUGUGUGUGUGUGUGUGUGUGUGUGGCUUUGUGAUGCUGGAGCUUGUGCUCUAGGGUUUGGGUGGGUGCUUGGUGGAGCUCAGUGAUAUGGAUGAGAUCAGAGAUCUUGUUAUUAGCUAACUUGCGUGUUGUUGGUUUAACUAUAGAUACUUUUACACAAUGAGUCUAAACUAGUGAAAUACAAUCUGCUCCUAAGAAUUUAACGCUGCAAAGAAACUGAAUCUCAUUCAACCAAAAUCUCAGUGAUAUUUAGUCCCACAGCUCAGUGUCCGUUUUGUUAUUUCUUUUUUUUCUGUUAUAUAAUUGUAAACUAAUAUUAAUGAAAAUAUAAGUACAGUUGUUAGUGUAGUCUUGAUGUCAACCGUUUUUCAACUUAAAAUAUCUUGUUAAAUGACACAUUUAAAGAUGUCACCCCUGAAAACGCACCGUGGACAUUUGACACAGUUUUGAUUUUUAUGCCCUCAAUAGAUCAUUCAUCUUGAAAUGAAAAUAUUAUACUGAAGUAUCUCUGUGCUCUACCAAGUGUGUGUGUGGUUGAGGCGGUUGCGCUUGGUGGGGCCUCUGGGGGGGGGGGGGGGGGGACCUGCUGAGGAGGAGUUCAGGAGCGUGGAGGGGCCCGUCUUUAUGGAGGCCUCUGCUGAGCAGCUAAUUCCCCCCCAGGAAGGCACAUGGCUCAGGCCGACCUGAAGAACUCCACCUUCUGGCUGAGGGCGAGCGUUGGUGCCACGGUGUUCGCCGUGCUGGGCUUCGCCAUGUACAGAGCGCUGCUCAAACAGCGGUGAUCCCCCCC